rnacentral:rRNA from 1 species
CCUACGGGCGGCAGCAAUUAGGAAUCUUGCGCAAUGGGCGAAAGCCUGACGCAGCGACGCCGCGUGACUGAUGAAGUCUUUCGGGAUGUAAAGGUCUUUUGCAGGGGACGAAGGAAGUGACGGUACCCUGCGAAUAAGCUCCGGCUAACUACGUGCCAGCAGCCGCGGUAAUACGUAGGGAGCGAGCGUUGUCCGAAUUUACUGGGCGUAAAGCGCGCGUAGGCGGGUUUUUAAGUUGUGGGUGAAAUGCCGAGGCUCAACCUCGGAACUGCCUGCAAAACUGGGAGCCUUGAGGUAUGGAGAGGGAAGUGGAAUUCCAGGUGUAGCGGUGAAAUGCGUAGAUAUCUGGAGGAACACCCGUGGCGAAGGCGGCUUCCUGGCCAUGUCCUGACGCUGAGGUGCGAAAGCUAGGGGAGCGAACGGGAUUAGAUACCCCGGUANUC